rnacentral:rRNA from 1 species
UGGGGGAUAUUGCACAUUGGGCGAAAGCCUGAUGCAGCGACGCCGCGUGGGGGAUGAAGGCCUUCGGGUUGUAAACUUCUUUUGCUCUGAACAAGGCGCACCAUGGGGUGUGUUGAGUGUAGGGGUUGAUUAGCGCCGGCUAACUACGUGCCAGCAGCCGCGGUAAUACGUAGGGCGCGAGCGUUGUCCGGAAUUAUUGGGCGUAAAGGGCUUGUAGGUGGCUGGUUGCGUCUGUCGUGAAAGCUCAUGGCUUAACUGUGGGUUUGCGGUGGGUACGGGCUGGCUUGAGUGCAGUAGGGGAGGCUGGAAUUCCUGGUGUAGCGGUGGAAUGCGCAGAUAUCAGGAGGAAUACCGGUGGCGAAGGCGGGUCUCUGGGCUGUUACUGACACUGAGGAGCGAAAGCAUGGGGAGCGAACAGG